ACGAUAACGAACGAGACCUUAACCUGCUAAAUAGCUAGGCCGGCGUUUGCUGGUCGCGAGCUUCUUAGAGGGACUAUUGGCGUUUAGCCGAUGGAAGUUUGAGGCAAUAACAGGUCUGUGAUGCCCUUAGAUGUUCUGGGCUGCACGCGCGCUACACUGAUGAAGCCAGCGAGUUUUUUCCUUGGCCGGGAGGUCUGGGUAAUCUUGUUAAACUUCAUCGUGCUGGGGAUAGAGCAUUGCAAUUAUUGCUCUUCAACGAGGAAUUCCUAGUAAGCGCAAGUCAUCAGCUUGCGUUGAUUACGUCCCUGCCCUUUGUACACACCGCCCGUCGCUAAUACCGAUUGAAUGGCUA
rnacentral:rRNA from 1 species